rnacentral:tRNA from 1 species
GCCCGGGUGGUGUAGCCCGGCUAUCAUGCGGGCCUGUCGAGCCCGCGACUCGGGUUCAAAUCCCACCCCCCGCACCA